AGGUCUCAGAGAUGAGACUGUGCCUUCGGGAACUGUGAGACAGGUGCUGCAUGGCUGUCGUCAGCUCGUGUUGUGAAAUGUUGGGUUAAGUCCCGCAACGAGCGCAACCCUUUAUCCUUUGUUGCCAGCGAUUCGGUCGGGAACUCAAAGGAGACUGCCAGUGAUAAACUGGAGGAAGGUGGGGAUGACGUCAAGUCAUCAUGGCCCUUACGAGUAGGGCUACACACGUGCUACAAUGGCAUAUACAAAGAGAAGCGACCUCGCGAGAGCAAGCGGACCUCAUAAAGUAUGUCGUAGUCCGGAUUGGAGUCUGCAACUCGACUCCAUGAAGUCGGAAUCGCUAGUAAUCGUAGAUCAGAAUGCUACGGUGAAUACGUUCCCGGGCCUUGUACACACCGCCCGUCACACCAUGGGAGUGGGUUGCAAAAGAAGUAGGUAGCUUAACCUUCGGGAGGGCGCUUACCACUUUGUGAUUCAUGACUGGGGUGAAGUCGUAACAAGGUAGGCGUAGUGCU
rnacentral:rRNA from 1 species